rnacentral:rRNA from 1 species
UACGGAGGGGGCUAGCGUUGUUCGGAAUUACUGGGCGUAAAGCGCACGUAGGCGGCUUUGCAAGUCAGAGGUGAAAGCCCGGGGCUCAACCCCGGAAUUGCCUUUGAGACUGCAUCGCUAGAAUCGUGGAGAGGUAAGUGGAAUUCCGAGUGUAGAGGUGAAAUUCGUAGAUAUUCGGAAGAACCCCAGUGGCGAAGGCGACUUACUGGACACGUAUUGACGCUGAGGUGCGAAGGCGUGGGGAGCAAACAGG